rnacentral:lncRNA from 1 species
AGCAGGCCCGUGGACAUUUCCAGUGUUAUUGAUCAGUGGUAGCUUCGGCUACGUAUCAGUGGUAGCUUCGGCUACGUAUCAGUGGUAGCUUCGGCUACGUAUCAGUGGUAGCUUCGGCUACAUAUCAGUGGUAGCUUCGGCUACGUAUCAGUGGUAGCUUCGGCUACAUAUCAGUGUGGCACUUAUGUGCUAAUUCUCUACGUAUCUAUGUAUAUUCCGAGUGUUCAACGGGAAAUUGACUAAGUGUAAUUGAAUAAUGAAUAUAGGUGUGGAACUGAAUUGAAUAUCGAC